CGCUGUCCGUUUGCUGGUCUCUUGAAUGAAUAACUGAAAGAAAGUUUCAAAAAGUUGCUGCCUUGCCCGCGUUGUGUGGGAAAUUGGCUAAUAGGGAAGAUUUGAUUUUAGAAAUAGAGCGCAAAUGAUCAAGAUUAUACAUGAAUUACAUAGUGCUUUAUUUGUCAUCGAAGAAGCUCUUUAAAUGAAUGAAUAAAUAAACAGAUAGAUGCAUAAAUUGAUAUAUUUAUAUAUAUAUCGUAGCGACGGACGGCACUGAAGUCCCAAGAGGCUCUGCGGCGCUACACUUAAGCUAAGACUGUUAAUUAUGAUUUAUUUUAUGUUGGCUUUCAAACAGUAGUGCUUAAUUUUGCUUUGUAGCAUUUGGCAAUGGGAGUGUUUUAGAUAGAUAGAUACUUUAUUAAUCCCAAGGGGGAAGAGUCGCAUAGUGUGGGGGAGUUUUAAUUUUAGUGAAGUUUAAAUUUCAAUGGCGAUUGAGUUUGCCUACCAAUGCUGCCUGGUGUAUGCACCCCGGACCAAAGGGGAGAGGCUUAAUUUGAAUAUUGGCGUUUGUAGUGGUUGUGUGUAUUACUUGAAUGUACAAAACUACCACCAUUAUGGAAAGAGUAAAGACAAAGUGUUUUUCUGGAUAAAUCGAGUCUGCCUAUUUGUCACAACUGAGAGGACGUGGUGGAUGUUUGCAGACUGGUUGACCGACCACAAGCGUUACCUGAUAGGUAACCAUCCAUAUAAUCAGAUUGUGAUUCAGACUUAUAAAUAUAUAUAUAUUUAUAAAUAUAUAUAUAUAUAUAUAUAUAAUAUACUGCAAUGUCUAAAAAAGAAGACAAUUCAAAAAAGAAAGCAAAGUUCGGACUUGGCAGACCCAUUCCCAGUGAUGCGCUAUACCAACGUAUUGCUGCUGGUAUGUUAGAGCCCCCCAUUGUGUUUCUUGACACACUUCUGCUGAGUAAUUCAUUGGCUGAAAGUCCUCAGUGUUGCUGUGUCAGAGAGAGGAUGUGCAGUGUUGUUCAUAACGGCACUCAGUUUAGUUUUAAUUCACUCCUUUACUAUGACCUCCAGGGAGUCCUAAGUUUGUCCCCUUUAACUUAGCUUGUUGAUUCGGUGGGCUUAUCUUAAAGUGAUGUUACCAACUCAGGACAGCACAGCGUAAUAGAAGAUGUGAAGGAUGUCACGUCCCACGUUAAGGAAGACAAGUCUGCUCUGCCCUUUCUUAUACAGUUCCUCUGUCACUGAUACGGACCCCCUAUUACUUGCUAGACUGCCCCACCUCUACUUCCACUCCUUGAAGAGUGACUGGACAUAGAGGCUCUUUGGAGCACUGAAAGCCAAUAACCAGUUCCUUAUUUUGCUGGGCAUAAUCGUAAGCGAGGUAAGGAGACUGCUAAAAUAUAGGAACUGAAGACAUUGAAGAACAAACAAGUAGAUUUAGAGUUCUUUGGAGAAAAAAAAAUAAAUGACAAAAGUGAUCAAGAAAUCAAUUAUAAAUGUGUGGCAAUUAAUAUAGCAAUAAGAUAGAUUAAUAAUUCUUUAUAUUUAUUUACUGCUUUUCUCACAACUCAAAGCACUUAGACAGAGGGGAGCCUCUUCAAGUCCCACUAAUGUUUCGCACCCACCUGGAUGAUGUGACGGCAGCCGUUAUUGUGCCAGUGCGCUCACCACACAUUGGCUGUUAGGUGGUGAAGUGUUGAGAGAGAGAGAGCCAAUCAGAGACAGGGGAUGAUUAGGGGGUCAGAAUGACCAGACCGUGGUGGGCAAUUUAGUCAGGACAUCGGCAUACACCCUACUCUUUAUGAAGAAUGACCAGGUAUCUUUUAUGACCACAGAGAGUCAGGGCCUCAGUGUUUAUGGCACCAUUUUUACAACAUGAUGUCCCCUUGCGAUCGACAUUCAGACCACCGGGUUAUCGCCCCCUACUGGUCUCACCCACACCUCUCAAGCUUUUCCUAAAUCGUCUCCUCUUAUUCAAGUACUGGCCAGGCCUGAAUACGCUUAGCUUCAGGGGGAUGACCUGUUCUGACGUGCAGGUGGUAUGGGCACAUCUCCACUAGACCCCUAGAUGUUGUGCAGAAUUCUGCAAUUUAUCUCACUAUUAGAAUGUUAUUAAUAACCCUCAGCUUGGCCUUCUUUAGCAAUUUCUUGUGGUCUAAAGUGCUGAAGUGGUGAGAGAGAUAGCCAAUCAGAGACAAGGGCUGAUUAGGGGGCCUGAAUGACCAGGUAGUGGUGGGCAAUUUAGAAAGAUAGAACUUUUAUUUGUUGCCAGGAGGUGAAAUUUGGCUUUUUUUCAGAAGCUCUUUAAAUAUGUAAUAGUUAGAGAAGUAAAUAAAUAUACACACACAGACACACUUUAGUAUGAACACACACCAAAAUGACUAUAAAGCAAGAAAAUUAAAAAGAGAAAACCUGUGAUGUGGCAGUGCCAGUCCCCAUGAGGCACUAAUGCAGGUGUAUUACUGUUGGCACGUAAGGAGCCCCCCAGUUGUGUUUCUUCACACACUUCGCUAAAUAAUUGGUUGGCUCCAAGUCCUCAGUGUUUUGUGUGUCACAGAGAGGAUGUGCAGCAUUGUGGCAGGGGUGUCAAAACCUAAAA